GAUGAACGCUGGCGGCGUGCCUAAUACAUGCAAGUAGAACGCUGAAGCUUGGUGCUUGCACCGAGCGGAUGAGUUGCGAACGGGUGAGUAACGCGUAGGUAACCUGCCUCUUAGCGGGGGAUAACUAUUGGAAACGAUAGCUAAUACCGCAUAAAAGUCGAUAUCGCAUGAUAUUGAUUUGAAAGGUGCAAUUGCAUCACUAAGAGAUGGACCUGCGUUGUAUUAGCUAGUUGGUGAGGUAACGGCUCACCAAGGCGACGAUACAUAGCCGACCUGAGAGGGUGAUCGGCCACACUGGGGCUGAGACACGGCCCAGACUCCUACGGGAGGCAGCAGUAGGGAAUCUUCGGCAAUGGGGGCAACCCUGACCGAGCAACGCCGCGUGAGUGAAGAAGGUUUUCGGAUCGUAAAGCUCUGUUGUAAGAGAAGAACGAGUGUGAGAGUGGAAAGUUCACACUGUGACGGUACUACCA
rnacentral:rRNA from 1 species